rnacentral:rRNA from 1 species
UCUGUUUGAUCCUGGCAGAUGCUACUGCUAUUGGGAUUCGAUUAAGCCAUGCAAGUCGAACGAGUUUAGGCUCGUGGCGUACGGCUCAGUAACACGUGGAUAACCUACCCUUAGGACUGGGAUAACCCUGGGAAACUGGGGAUAAUACUGGAUAGGCAAUUAUUCCUGUAAUGGUUUUUUGUUUAAAUGUUUUUUCGCCUAAGGAUGGGUCUGCGGCCGAUUAGGUAGUUGGUUAGGUAAUGGCUUACCAAGCCUUUGAUCGGUACGGGUUGUGAGAGCAAGAGCCCGGAGAUGGAACCUGAGACAAGGUUCCAGGCCCUACGGGGUGCAGCAGGCGCGAAACCUCCGCAAUGUGAGAAAUCGCGACGGGGGGAUCCCAAGUGCCAUUCUUAACGGGAUGGCUUUUCAUUAGUGUAAAGAGCUUUUGGAAUAAGAGCUGGGCAAGACCGGUGCCAGCCGCCGCGGUAACACCGGCAGCUCUAGUGGUAGCAGUUUUUAUUGGGCCUAAAGCGUCCGUAGCCGGUUUAAUAAGUCUCUGGUGAAAUCCUGCAGCUUAACUGUGGGAAUUGCUGGAGAUACUAUUAGACUUGAGAUCGGGAGAGGUUAGAGGUACUCCCAGGGUAGAGGUGAAAUUCUGUAAUCCUGGGAGGACCGCCUGUUGCGAAGGCGUCUGACUGGAACGAUUCUGACGGUGAGGGACGAAAGCUAGGGGCGCGAACCGGAUUAGAUACCCGGGUAGUCCUAGCUGUAAACGAUGCGGACUUGGUGUUGGGGUGGCUUUGAGCUGUCCCAGUGCCGAAGGGAAGCUGUUAAGUCCGCCGCCUGGGAAGUACGGUCGCAAGACUGAAACUUAAAGGAAUUGACGGGCACCCGCACAAGCGGUGGAGCAUGCUGUUUAAUUCGAAGAUACGCGAAGAACCUUACCUAGACUUGACAUCCCUGGCAAUGUUAUGGAAACAUAACGGAGGUUAUCCGGGUGACAGGUGGUGCAUGGUUGUCGUCAGCUCGUGUUGUGAAAUGUUCGGUUAAGUCCGCUAACGAGCGCAACCCUUGUCCUUAGUUGCUAACAUUAAGUUGAGAUCUCUAAAGAGACUGCCGGUAAUAAACCGGAGGAAG